AUCCCCCAGACUCGGGGCCUCCCAGUGCUAGGCAGCUGGCAGUUUCUCCAGCACUGACUUGGCAUCUUACCCCCUUCACACAAAGCAGAUAUUGUUGAAGGAAGCAACCAUCCUGUGGUCUCUUGGCAUCACCCCCUGCCCGGCAUGCAUGUGGGAGAAGGAGCGUCUCACUGAGAAGAGAUUCUAUCUUAUUGUAAGUCUCUUUGGAGAGAGGACGCCCAGGAGAAUGCCUUUGCUCAGAGCCUGAAACCUGCUUGCUCAGGGGUGGAGCUUCCCGCUCAAUCGUUCUGCCACGCCCACUGCUGGAACCUGCUGCUUUGCUGUUUGGAGCCAUACACGUGGUCACCCUGAUACUGGACUCCGAGAUUAUUUGGUGGGAAUCGGGCCCCUCCACCUUCCUUCAUAACUGAGUGUCGCAACAGUAAAAUUGAGCUUUGAUCAGAAUGCC
rnacentral:lncRNA from 1 species